rnacentral:rRNA from 1 species
AGCUCCAAUAGCGUAUAUUAAAGUUGUUGCGGUUAAAAAGCUCGUAGUUGGAUUUCUGUCGAGAACGGCCGGUCCGCACUAUGUGCGUGUAUCUGGUUCGGUCUUGGCAUCCUCUUGGAGAACGUGUCUGCGCUUGAUUGCGUGGUGCGGAAUUCAAGACUUUUACUUUGAGGAAAUUAGAGUGUUCACGGCAGGCAAGCGCCUUGAAUAUAUUAGCAUGGGAUAAUAAUAUAGGACUCGCGUUCUAUUUUGUUGGUUUCUAGAAUGUGAGUAAUGAUUAAUAGGGAUAAUUGGGGGCAUUUGUAUUAACGCGUCAGAGGUGGAAUUCUUGGAUUGCGUUACGACAAACUACUGCGAAAGCAUUUGCCAAGGAUGUUUUCA